UCAAACGGGGGCAUGUGCACGCUCUGUUUACACAUCCACUCACACCUGUGCACCCUCUGUAGUUCUGUGGYCUGGGGGGCUCUGCCCUCCUGCUGCGGUUCUACGUCUUUACACAYACACUAUGUAAUGAAGUCUCAUGGAAUGUGUACCGCGUUUAACGCAAUACAAUACAACYUUCAGCAACGGAUCUCUUGGCUCUCGCAUCGAUGAAGAACGCAGCGAAAUGCGAUAAGUAAUGUGAAUUGCAGAAUUCAGUGAAUCAUCGAAUCUUUGAACGCACCUUGCGCCCUUUGGCCAUUCCGAAGGGCAUGCCUGUUUGAGUAUCAUGAACACCUCAACUCUCAUGGYUUGCCAUGAUGAGCUUGGACUUUGGGGGUCUUGCUGGCCUGUGGUCGGCUCCUCUCAAAUGAAUCAGCUUGCCAGUGUUUGGUGGCAUCACAAGUGUGAUAACUAACUGCGCUCGUGGUUUCCAUCAGAUAACCUCCAGUGAUGGAGGUUCGCUGGAGCUCAUAAUUGUCUCUCCUAAGCGAGGACAGCUCUUUUAAUGU
rnacentral:rRNA from 1 species